UCUGGGACCUGUUGGAUCGGAGGCAAGUGGAACAAAAGACUGAGGGGAAGGAGACGGCACACAGACUCACCCAAGAUCCCAACGGAGCAGAGACGUCAGCACUAUUGACACAGACUCAUCCAAGAUCCCAACGGAGCAGAGAGGUCAGCACUAUUGACACAGACUCAUCCAAGAUCCCAACGGAGCAGAGAGGUCAGCACUAUUGACACUGACUCAUCCAAGAUCCCAACGGAGCAGAGAGGUCAGCUCUAUUGACACUGACUCAUCCAAGAUCCCAACGGAGCAGAGAGGUCAGCACUAUUGACACUGCGGCUCCUCUAAUGCGCUGAGCUAAAGCUGACCUCCACUGAUUUCACUUUGCUAUUCUUAGAGUUGCUGCAUUGUCCUCAAUUCACACAGAGGAAAGUACAAGUGAGAUAAAGGAAUCGUGCCCAUCCUCUUGAGGAUGGUUUCUUAAACCAUGAGUGGACCCAAAGUGGGCCCUGGGCAUCUGACGUGUGUCGCGAGUUACAGGAAUAGUCUAUAAUCACACACUAUUUGUAUAUCUCUUCUUCAUUUAGGUCAUUGAAGAACGAUUAGGGUCACAGGGGGAAGGUCAUUUUGGGUCACAAGUUUAAAAAGUUUAGGAACCCCUGCUCUAGUAUAGUAAUAGUAACCUAUUCGAACAAAUAGUAAAUUGACAGAGGAAGUAGGCCUUAGCCUCUCUCUGCAUCCCCACUCAUAUGGCAUCAUAUCAUAUCCCUUUAAUCAAACACAGGAUACAGUGUCCAAUGCACAUCCAAUGAUCUAAAUAUGCUCAGCAUGAGGACAGGAGCACCAGAACUAUUUUUGUAAUAAAUGAUUCCCUGACAUCCCAGCUGCUGCUAAGCUUUACAGUACUGAAUCAACAAAGAGAUGUCUCCCUGCCACUGCCAGCAUCCUAGUCCACCUUCAUGUGUCCUUCCUCUCCUCUGCUUCUUCCUCCUCCCAUCUCAUUCAGCGUUGCUGCGGUGAUGUCAUCAUUCCCUGCUCCAGCCGAGCCAGAGAUUUUGUCCUGAGCUCUCCAAGAGCUGCAGCAGCCAUCACAUGGGCCUCACCACUGCAUCACUCACCACCCCCCCUCCUGCUGCAGGUAGCUCAGGUUGCUAGGAGACACUUUCCCUGGCUGCCUAGCAACAGAUAAACGUUGUGUUUCUUCCUCUGAUGGAUGAGGCAGGACUGCUUUAACACCUUGACUUUGGCUGCUCACCCACCCUCUGGACAGUGCAGUGGGACUCUGGGCAGCGACGUGGGACUCUGGACAGCGACGUGGGACCCUGGACAGUGCAGUGGGACUCUGGGCAGCGACGUGGGACUCUGGACAGUGCAGUGGGACUCUGGGCAGCGACGUGGGACUCUGGGCAGCGACGUGGGACUCUGGGCAGCGACGUGGGACUCUGGGCAGCGACGUGGGACUCUGGGCAGCGACGUGCGACUCUGGGCAGCGACGUGGGACUCUGGACAGCGACGUGGGACCCUGGACAGUGCAGUGGGACUCUGGGCAGCGACGUGGGACUCUGAACAGUGCAGUGGGACUCUGGGCAGCGACGUGGGACUCUGGGCAGCGACGUGCGACUCUGGGCAGCGACGUGCGACUCUGGGCAGCGACGUGCGACUCUGGGCAGCGACGUGCGACUCUGGG
ensembl:lncRNA